AGUCGAGCGGCAGCGGAAAGUAGCUUGCUACUUUGCUGGCGAGCGGCGGACGGGUGAGUAAUGUCUGGGAAACUGCCUGAUGGAGGGGGAUAACUACUGGAAACGGUAGCUAAUACCGCAUGACCUCGAAAGAGCAAAGUGGGGGAUCUUCGGACCUCACGCCAUCGGAUGUGCCCAGAUGGGAUUAGCUAGUAGGUGAGGUAAUGGCUCACCUAGGCGACGUUCCCUAGCUGGUCUGAGAGGAUGACCAGCCACACUGGAACUGAGACACGGUCCAGACUCCUACGGGAGGCAGCAGUGGGGAAUAUUGCACAAUGGGCGCAAGCCUGAUGCAGCCAUGCCACGUGUGUGAAGAAGGCCUUAGGGUUGUAAAGCACUUUCAGCGAGGAGGAAGGCAUCACACUUAAUACGUGUGGUGAUUGACGUUACUCGCAGAAGAAGCACCGGCUAACUCCGUGCCAGCAGCCGCGGUAAUACGGAGGGUGCAAGCGUUAAUCGGAAUUACUGGGCGUAAAGCGCACGCAGGCGGUUUGUUAAGUCAGAUGUGAAAUCCCCGCGCUUAACGUGGGAACUGCAUUUGAAACUGGCAAGCUAGAGUCUUGUAGAGGGGGGUAGAAUUCCAGGUGUAGCGGUGAAAUGCGUAGAGAUCUGGAGGAAUACCGGUGGCGAAGGCGGCCCCCUGGACAAAGACUGACGCUCAGGUGCGAAAGCGUGGGGAGCAAACAG
rnacentral:rRNA from 1 species